rnacentral:rRNA from 1 species
CACGUAGGCGGCCAUUCAAGUCAGAGGUGAAAGCCCGGGGCUCAACCCCGGAACUGCCUUUGAAACUAGAUGGCUUGAAUCUUGGAGAGGCGAGUGGAAUUCCGAGUGUAGAGGUGAAAUUCGUAGAUAUUCGGAAGAACACCAGUGGCGAAGGCGGCUUACUGGUCCAUUACUGACGCUGAGGUGCGAAAGCGUGGGGAGCAAACA